rnacentral:rRNA from 1 species
CACGUAGGCACCAAGCGUUGUCCGGAUUUAUUGGGCGUAAAGAGCGUGUAGGCGGUCAGGUAGGUCGGUUGUGAAAACUGGAGGCUCAACCUUCAGAGGUCGACCGAAACCCCCUGGCUAGAGUCCGGGAGAGGAGAGUGGAAUUCCUGGUGUAGCGGUGAAAUGCGCAGAUAUCAGGAAGAACACCCGUGGCGAAAGCGACUCUCUGGAACGGUACUGACGCUGAGACGCGAAAGCGUGGGGAGCGAACAGG